rnacentral:piRNA from 1 species
UAGUAUUCUUAAGAUGUUAUCAGGACU